GAUGAACGCUAGCUACAGGCUUAACACAUGCAAGUCGCGGGGCAGCAUUUCCUUAGCUUGCUAAGGGAGAUGGCGACCGGCGCACGGGUGAGUAACGCGUAUCCAACCUUCCCAUGUCCACGGGAUAGCCCGUCGAAAGGCGGAUUAAUACCGUAUGAGGUCACAUGCGGGCAUCUAAGUGUGACGAAAGGUUUAGCGGACAUGGAUGGGGAUGCGUCCGAUUAGCUUGUUGGCGGGGUAACGGCCCACCAAGGCGACGAUCGGUAGGGGUUCUGAGAGGAAGGUCCCCCACAUUGGAACUGAGACACGGUCCAAACUCCUACGGGAGGCAGCAGUGAGGAAUAUUGGUCAAUGGGCGCGAGCCUGAACCAGCCAAGUAGCGUGCGGGAUGAAGGCCCUAUGGGUUGUAAACCGCUUUUUCAGGGGGAUAAAGUGAGUGACGUGUCAUUCAUUGCAGGUACCCUGCGAAUAAGGACCGGCUAAUUCCGUG
rnacentral:rRNA from 1 species